rnacentral:rRNA from 1 species
AUUGAACGCUGGCGGCAGGCCUAACACAUGCAAGUCGAACGGCAGCACAGAAGAGCUUGCUCUUUGGGUGGCGAGUGGCGGACGGGUGAGUAAUGUCUGGGAAACUGCCCGAUGGAGGGGGAUAACUACUGGAAACGGUAGCUAAUACCGCAUAACGUCGCAAGACCAAAGUGGGGGACCUUCGGGCCUCACACCAUCCAAUGUGCCCAGAUGGGAUUAGCUAGUAGGUGGGGUAAUGGCUCACCUAGGCGACGAUCCCUAGCUGGUCUGAGAGGAUGACCAGCCACACUGGAACUGGGACACGGUCCAGACUCCUACGGGAGGCAGCAGUGGGGAAUAUUGCACAAUGGGCGCAAGCCUGAUGCAGCCAUGCCGCGUGUAUGAAGAAGGCCUUCGGGUUGUAAAGUACUUUCAGCGGGGAGGAAGGCGGUGAGGUUAAUAACCUUGCCGAUUGACGUUACCCGCAGAAGAAGCACCGGCUAACUCCGUGCCAGCCGCCGCCGUAAAAC